AUCUCUUCUCGGCCUAUUGGCUAAGAUCAAGUGUAGUAUCUGUAACAGUGCCAUUUGAAGAAAGAAAGUAUUUGGUUUUUAAUUAUGUUUAUCUUAUAUUCUUA
rnacentral:snRNA from 1 species